rnacentral:siRNA from 1 species
GUAGAUGAGUGCCCGCGCUAC